rnacentral:rRNA from 1 species
AUGAUUGGUUAUCUUUGCAAGUCUCUUCGAAUUAUCAGUUUGGUUCGGCCUACUAGAUUGAUCUUUCUUGCAAUGGGAGAAGUGCUUAGCUUUGGGUUCAAUCUUGCGGUGUCCUUUCCCAGUGACAGUAGGGGCAGCAAGGCACGUAUUGUAUUGUUGCCAUCGAGGAUAACAAGAUGGGUUUUUAUCAUAUUGCAUGAAUUUAUCCCUCUGCAUCAUGUCAUCUUGCUUAAGGCGUUACUCUGUUUCCAUGAACUUAAUACUCUAGAUGCAUGCUGGAUAGCGGUUGAUGAGUGGAGUAAUACUAUGAGAAGUUUGAUACUUGGUAAUUGUUUUGAGAUAUGA